UAUUUUAUCAGUUCUGGAAAAUUCUCAGCCAUAUUGUCAGGGAGCUGGUGGGCUCUCCCCGUUUUAUUUAUUUCCACCUCUUGGAAUUCCUUCCUUCCUUCCCGCCUUCCCACCUUCCCUCCUUCCCUCCUUCCCUCCUUCCUUCCUUCCUUCCAUCCUUCCUUCCCUUCCCUCCCUCCCUCCCUUCCUCCCUCCCUCCCUUCCUUCCUUCCCUCCUUCCCUCCUUUCCUCCCUCUUCAGCCUCCCAAAGUGCUGGGAUUACAGGUGUGAGCCACCGCGCCCGGCUUCUUUUCUUUUCUUUCUUCAGAGUCUCGCUUUCCUGCCCAGGCUGGAGUGAAGUGGCGCAAUCUUGGCUGCA
rnacentral:lncRNA from 1 species